AUUGCUCAGUUGGUCAGAGCACCUGCCUCUCCGUGUUCAUAAUUGGCAGGGAGUCCUUGGUUCAAGCCCAAGUGGGACCA
rnacentral:tRNA from 1 species